CUGUGACAUACCUAUAACGUUGCCUCGGCGGGAACAGACGGCCCCGUAACACGGGCCGCCCCCGCCAGAGGACCCCCUAACUCUGUUUCUAUAAUGUUUCUUCUGAGUAAACAAGCAAAUAAAUUAAAACUUUCAACAACGGAUCUCUUGGCUCUGGCAUCGAUGAAGAACGCAGCGAAAUGCGAUAAGUAAUGUGAAUUGCAGAAUUCAGUGAAUCAUCGAAUCUUUGAACGCACAUUGCGCCCGCCAGUAUUCUGGCGGGCAUGCCUGUUCGAGCGUCAUUACAACCCUCAGGCCCCCGGGCCUGGCGUUGGGGAUCGGCGGAAGCCCCCUGCGGGCACAACGCCGUCCCCCAAAUACAGUGGCGGUCCCGCCGCAGCUUCCAUUGCGUAGUAGCUAACACCUCGCAACUGGAGAGCGGCGCGGCCACGCCGUAAAACACCCAACUUCUGAAUGUUGACCUCGAAUCAGGUAGGAAUACCCGCUGAACUUAAGCA
rnacentral:rRNA from 1 species